UUGGGGUUCCUGGACCCACAAGUCAGCCAAGCCGAUUCUAGCAGGAGCUGGUACGUGUGGAGAUGACUAUGAAGCCUCAUAGGUUCAGUUUCCAAUGACACUCGGUCCUAGAAUUGGUCCCUGCCGGGCAGUGCAGCAGUCAGAUGCAUGGACCAACCAUCUCACGUGCAGCAAAAGCAGAAAUCCAACCUGUGACAUCUCCCAGUGGGACUUCUCAGUCUGCAGCCGCAGCCAUGGAGACGGUUGCAGCCUCAACAAGACCAUUUUCUCCAUGCCCAGCACGGACACGGAUGAGCAUUUUCAUGGGAAACCACAUGUGCAGAGUGACUGAGCCCAGAAUGGACAUCACCAGCCCCUCAUCAGCUAUUACCCAGUUCUGUGCCAGCUCCUCAGCCAUUCUUCUAGAGUUUCCUGGACCGUGGGUAGAGCUCCUGAGCUCCUCUGUACAGAGCCCCCUCACCACCAUCUACAGAUGUCAAAGAACCUGGCCCCGUGAACCAGCACCUACCCUUUACAGAGGGGACCACAAAACCCCAGAGAGGGGUAUUGUUCACAGUCUCAAAGCAUUGGAUGGGCUAACUGCACCUCAAAGACAGGAAGUUGCCUCUGCUGGCAGGAACUUUGAGAUCUAGGAGAAGAGAGGCCUGCUUCUAGGGUCUGAGCCAGCCCGAGGGUCCCCGGGCUUUGCCAGCAAGAACCAGGAACUGAGAACACCGGAGGCCCGGGGUGCAAAGAAAUCUAUCAGCACAUCCCUACCACUUGCAUUGGGGGGCGGCUCUAGUAGGUGAAGGAAGAAAGCCACCGUUUAGGGGCCACGAUGUGCAUUCACCAGUCCCUUCCGGGACAUGCGGGCUUGGGCAAACUCCUUAUCCCCAUUUUACAGCUGAGAAAAAGGCUUAGAAGCUAAGCUGUUCCUGCCCAUUUUCUAGCAUCAUACUGAGGAAGGGGCUCUGAAUUACAGCUUUUCUGAAGGACCGGUUUUCUCAGCGACCUGGUAUCCAUCUGGAACUCUGAGGUUGACCAACUACAGAAGGCAGUGACUCCUUCCCCAAGCAGGGAGGUCUUUUAUCUCUAUGUCCUAAGGAGUCCUCGCUCCAGACAUCUAACAAGCGCUUUCUGUGUGAACAUCCA